GGCAGAAUUUGGAAAAUCAAUGCACCUGACAUUGCGUCUAACAAACUGGUGGGGUAGGAUGGCGAUAGAUUACACUCUGAGAAUGACACUGUCUACACCAUGCGGUACUCUCUCUGAGCUGGACUUCCUAGUUUAUGAUAACUUCCUGUAUAACAGGAAAGGUAACUCAAGGCUGUAGGAACCGGAAUAUCCAGCAGGUGGCAUUAAUACAUGUAAACAGAAU